rnacentral:lncRNA from 1 species
AAAAAAAAAAAAAAAAACUAUUUGUACACUCAGAAAUAUAAAUCUUACAUUAAAGACUUAUUGCCCACCUAGUUUAGACUAUAAAAUUAACAUAAAAUUUAUUAAUUCUGAUAAUUAUUUUUUAUUUUAUAAAAAUUAAAAUUUAAUUUUAAUUACACUAUGGAAUAAAAAUAAUCUGAAUUUUGAAUUCAAAUUGGCCAAUUUCAAAAUACACUCAAAAUAUCCUCUCACAAAUACCUUCUACUCAUCUAUAUUUAUCACUCUUUUCAUUCUUAACUAAAAUUCUCUGUCAAAAUUUUAAAUGUCUAUUUCAAUUUCUAUUCUAAUAGUGAAUUAAAUAUUUUUAAAUAAUUCGUCGGUCUAUUUCCUACUCAAUUGCAAUUCAAUUUUAUUUUUUAUUUCUAUUCUAAUCAUAAAUAAAAUAUAUCCUAAAAGAUUAUUUAAGUUUUAGUAAAACUUAAUAAGAGAAAUAAAUAAAUUUAUAUCAUAGAAAUUUAGAAUGUAGAUUUACACACACACACACACACACACACACACACACACACACACACAUAUACAUAUAUAGAGAGAGAGAGAAGAGAGAGAAGAGAGAGCAGGUCUCGUGUGUUAUUAGGAGCACGGAGGUCUCCAUGCUCCUAAGCCGUUUUCGAUGACGAAGCUUCCGAAUUAAUGAUCGGUGCCGCUAGACUUGAUCUAACAUAUUUGAAGUAUCUAGAAAAUAAAUUUUGCAAUUUUUUGAUAUCAUUUACUUAACGAUUGAAAGGGUUCAAAAUCAAUGACUAAAAAUAAAAAUCUAAAAAAAAAUUGUGAUAUAAUAUUAAAUUUUCAAUAAAAAAUAUUGAUCUUAUAAUAAAUAGUAUAAAAAUUUUUUUAUUAAAAUUUCAUCUGAUUUGAAUACUCUACACCGCUAAACUUGCAAACAGUAUAUAUGAAUUAUUAAAAUUAUACCGACCGUCCCUAGAGCAAGUGACAAAGGGCUUGGCGGUUGGUACUUGAGACCCAAGUUCGAAUCCUAGUUGAUUCACAUUUCAAGCUAAGUUUAUUUCUAAAUGAAAUAAACAAAACGGAUUGCAUGCUACCUAUUUCUCAAAAAAAAAAAAAAAUUAUUGAUUUUGAACCAUUUCGAUUGCUAGAUAAAUGACAUCAAAAAAUCACAAAUUUUAUUUUUUAGAUACUUCAAAUAUACUAUAUUAAAUCUAACAGAGCCGAUCGGCGAUUCGAAAGCUAGCUCUAUUAUCGAAAAUGACUUAGAAGCAUUAAGGACUCCGUAUUCAUAAUAGCACACAAGACCUACUUUCUCUAUAUAUAGUAUUUCUCUUUCUCAACAUGAUUGAGCUUGCAAUUUUAAUUGUG